UGGGGAAUUUUGGACAAUGGGCGAAAGCCUGAUCCAGCAAUGCCGCGUGUGUGAAGAAGGCCUUCGGGUUGUAAAGCACUUUUGUCCGGAAAGAAAUCCUUGGCUCUAAUACAGUCGGGGGAUGACGGUACCGGAAGAAUAAGCACCGGCUAACUACGUGCCAGCAGCCGCGGUAAUACGUAGGGUGCAAGCGUUAAUCGGAAUUACUGGGCGUAAGCGUGCGCAGGCGUUUGCUAAGACCGAUGUGAAAUCCCCGGGCUCAACCUGGGAACUGCAUUGGUGACUGGCAGGCUAGAGUAUGGCAGAGGGGGGUAGAAUUCCACGUGUAGCAGUGAAAUGCGUAGAGAUGUGGAGGAAUACCGAUGGCGAAGGCAGCCCCCUGGGCCAAUACUGACGCUCAUGCACGAAAGCGUGGGGGCAAACAGGAUUAGAUACCCUGGUAGUCCACGCCCU
rnacentral:rRNA from 1 species